UCGCACAAUCUCCUUCAGCUGUUGAGUACAGGAAGUGACGAAACUGCACUAGAACAUUAGCGACAUCCCAAUAUCAGGGAUAAAGAGUCACACGUCUGCUCAUCCUUGUCUUUCACACAGGGAACUUAUUCUGAUCACUUGAGACUAUUUUAUAAACGAACAGACUUCGGACCAAACAGAAGAAUUCAGGGGUAGUAGUACAAAUAAAGUAACUCGACCUCAUCAUCAUUGGGACACACAGCGGAGGUCCGAAUAAAGCAGCGGGAUAAGGACAUCUGUAUCCGUUACAUAAGAUUGGGCCACUGCUGAAAAUUUAUCCUCAUCCAGAGGAGUGGAAACCCAAAACUUGAGCCAUGGGGGAUUAUUACAAGAUCCUGGGUGUGAUGAAAAAUGCAUCCCAUGACGAUAUAAAGAAAGCGUA